GAUGAACGCUAGCGGCAGGCCUAACACAUGCAAGUCGAGGGAGAAGCCCUUUCGGGGGCAGAAACCGGCGCACGGGUGCGUAACGCGUAUGCAACCUACCUUUCACAGGGGGAUAGCCCGAAGAAAUUUGGAUUAAUACCCCAUAAUAUUAUUUGAUGGCAUCAUUUGAUAAUUAAAACUGCGGUGGUGAAAGAUGGGCAUGCGUCCUAUUAGCUAGUUGGAGUGGUAACGGCACCCCAAGGCUACGAUAGGUAGGGGUCCUGAGAGGGAGAUCCCCCACACUGGUACUGAGACAGGGACCAGACGCCUACGGGAGGCAGCAGUGAGGAAGAUUGGUCAAUGGUCGGAAGACUGAACCAGCCAUGCCGCGUGCAGGAAGAAUGCCUUAUGGGUGGUAAACUGCUUUUAGAUGGGAAGAAUAAGGCGUACGUGUACGUUGAUGACGGUACCAUAUGAAUAAGCAUCGGCUAACUCCGUG
rnacentral:rRNA from 1 species